rnacentral:rRNA from 1 species
UACAGAGGUGGCAAGCGUUGUUCGGAAUUACUGGGCGUAAAGAGCUCGUAGGCGGUCUGUCGCGUCGGCUGUGAAAUCCCGAGGCUCAACCUCGGGUCUGCAGUCGAUACGGGCAAACUGGAGUGUUGCAGGGGAGACUGGAAUUCCUGGUGUAGCGGUGAAAUGCGCAGAUAUCAGGAGGAACACCGGUGGCGAAGGCGGGUCUCUGGGCAACAACUGACGCUGAGGAGCGAAAGCGUGGGGAGCGAACAGG